CUAGCUGCCUUUGAGUAGGAUGUGAAUCACUGAGAAAUGUAAUGACUUUCUUCCAGACUGUUGGUGGUGGAGCAGUACAAGAGAGGGUGCCAGAGUUGGAUAGCAGUGGGCCAACAGAGCAAGACAAAAACCAUUCUAACAGCAGCACCUUGUCUGACCGAAGACUCAGCAACACCAGCCUUUGUAGCAUUGAAGAAGAGUACCGAACGGUGUAUGAAAUGGUGCAGCGGAUUCUCUUGUCAACACGUGGUUAUGUCAAUUUUGUGAAUGAAGUAUUUCGCCAGGUUAGUGUGUGCUUAUGCAUGUGUUAUCAGUUUAUGAAACUGAAGAAAUUUUUGUUCUUGCUUGUAUUAGCCAGCUUCCUGUUACUCUAGAAAAUACCUGAGAUAAAUAGAUUUGAAAAGAUAAAAGGCUUAUUUUAGCUUACAGUUUUGGAGGUGUUAGUCCAUGACCAGUUGACUCUCUCACUUUAUCCCUGU
rnacentral:lncRNA from 1 species